rnacentral:rRNA from 1 species
GUGAGUAACACGUAGACAACCUACCCUUAAGCGGGGGACAACCCAGGGAAACUUGGGCUAAUACCGCAUGGGACCACGAACUGGGAUGUUAGUGGUAAAAGGCCAAGUUGAAAGAUUUGGUUGCUUAGGGAUGGGUCUGCGGCCUAUCAGGUAGUUGGUGGGGUAAAGGCCUACCAAGCCAGAGACGGGUAGCCGGUCUGAGAGGACGAACGGCCACACUGGCACUGAGACACGGUCCAGACUUCUACGGGAGGCAGCAGUGGGGAAUCUUGCACAAUGGGCGAAAGCCUGAUGCAGCGACGCCGCGUGGAGGACGAAGGCCUUCGGGUUGUAAACUUCUUUUGUAGGGGACAAUGAUGAUGGUACCCUAUGAAUAAGCCACGGCUAACUCUGUGCCAGCAGCCGCGGUAAGGCAGAGGUGGCGAGCGUUGUUCGGAAUUACUGGGCUUAAAGGGCGCGUAGGCGGUGGUGCAAGUCUGGGGUGGAAUUCUAUGGCUUAACUAUAGGACUGCCCUGGAAACUGCAUUACUUGAGUCGGUGAGGGGAAGGCGGAAUUCCUGGUGUAGCGGUGAAAUGCGUAGAUAUCAGGAGGAAGGCCUGUGGUGAAGACGGCCUUCUGGCACUUGACUGACGCUGAGGCGCGAAAGCGUGGGUAGCAAACAGGAUUAGAUACCCU